rfam:Triticum aestivum genome assembly, contig: Triticum_aestivum_CS42_TGACv1_scaffold_159334_2DL
UAAAUACUCCCUCCGUUCCAUAAUACAUGCCUUCCAUUUGUUAAAAUUUAGAUGUAUCUGGACAUAUUUUAGUAUAUAGGUACAUACAUUUUUGAACAAAUGGAAGUCAAGUAUUUUGGAACGGAGGGAGUAGUUU